GGCGUGGUACUCAAAGGGUUAAGGGAGCGGUUUGCAAAACCGCGAUGUAUGGGUUCGAAUCCCAUCCACGCCUCCA
rnacentral:tRNA from 1 species